UAUAUCGUUUGACUUUUUCUUAUGUUACGGAAGCUGGGGGUUUUCCUUGAUAGCUUGAGAAAGGGCCUUGUAUUGACUUCCAAUUUAUUGAUUUGAGAGAAAUGUUGUAUCUCUCGAAGUUAGAGAAAGGAAAGGGUGACUUAAGCAAAUGAAAUUGAUUUCGUUUUGGUGGAUCAUAAAUUAAAAGUGUAUACUUGUGGGAGCUAGAGGUGUAGCUGCAUGGAUUUGAUGUGAGCAUGAAUUUCAUAUUUAUGCUUCCAAAUAUCACCUAGUUUAGAUUUAAGUUUAGUUGACUGUGUUAGAAGGAUCAACUCUAUGAAGUCACUAAGGGGCUGCUUGGUUGCUUGCAAAGAGAGUGUAAAAUAUUCCAAAUGCAGGGCUUUGAAAAUAUUAAUGUUUGGUUUGAAGUAAAAUAAACUCAAGUGUAAAAUUUUGUUGUAUUUGUAAUACAACAACUAGUUUAUUUUUAGUUUAUAUGGAAUUCCUCUAAUUUGGACGAAUUCCAAAUUCACUAUAAAUUCAUUGCAAUUGCCGCAACUCGGCGCCGCCACGUGUCGACUGCUGACCACCACAGACCACCCAUAGCCGCCGACCACUACCACCAGCCAUUUGUAGCCGUCCGUCACCGUUGGUCACCCACCAUCGCCCACCACUGCCACUGGCCACAUCGCCGCUAAUGUCAGCCACCGACGACUACCUUUUUGCACUUUGCAUUGUAUUUAUUUUACUUAUAUAUAUAUAUAUACAUGCAUUACUUUUACAAUCAUCCAAACAACUCACAAGUAUUCCUUUUACACUGCAUUUCUUAUACACUAUAUUUAUUUUUUCAGGCAACCAAACUGCUCCUAAGAGAAUAAUUGAUUUUUCCUCUUGAGUUCAAGUCGAUCAUAAGUAUCAAUUAAGGUGUAUUGGGCCCUAUGACCAACUAGGGUAAAGUCAAUCCAAUUUUUCAAGGCUACUCAUCCAAACACCAUAGCUCUUUGCUCAAAUUGCCUAGCAAAUUUGGUUAAGCAUCUUAGGUCACUUGCCAACGCAUUUUGGUAAUUUGCCAGAGCUAGGUAAGUCAUGGUGAAGUCAGCCAGGGAUUUUAAAUGGACUUGCCCUUCACUUAGAAGCCAAUAUGUACUCUUGAUGUAUUGCUUAGCUACAUGCUAGUUAGAUUUAUUUUACUAAAAGCAUUUGUAAGACUUAUUAUAUAAUUUUAUUUGUAUUUCUCAAAUGUAGUUUUUAUUAUUUAUUCGUGCCUUGACAUGAAUCUCUUAAUAGGAGAUUAGAUGUUGAGCCUGACACAUUCUAAACUUUUACAAAGUCUUGUACUUUCUCAUAAACUAGCGAAAUCUCACUGUAUCUAACUUCAAAUUCUUUCUUCCUUUAAUUUUUCAUUUUUUUGACUAAUAUGAUUAGUAAGGUUCUGGUGUUAUAAACACUCAUGGAUCCAAAAGCAUCAUAGUGGGAACCCCUGGAAAGAGAUCAAUCCUACUUUUUGAAGAUGGAAGAACUCUCAAGAUUGUCAACCACGUUAUUUGCUAUUUGAAAGAUCAUUUUUCGUUGGGACCCAUACUCUAUGAGUGGAUCUCUGUGGAUGGCACCCAAAUGUCACACCCUAAGCUUCAACAACGACACCCUUUCUACAAGGCAUUGACAUCCAUUCUUGCUUCAUCUUUUGUCGAGGCCUUAUGAUGAUGGAUCCCUUGGCAUGGGUCCCAAGUGGAGAUUCGGCCUUGUAAAUUAUUACAGUAGAUAGCUUCUUCUUAAACUUUGCUUCCUUAGUGCCCACAACAAUUGGCCUUCUAUUUCACUAUUCCCUUGUCUUUCAGAGCUUUGAGAAAUUUCUAUGCUUUAAAAGAUGAAAGUUUUGGCUCUCUAUUCUAAUGCUCUCAGGGCAUGGACUUAGUCAUUUCACAAAAAAGGUUUUGUAAUUAUGCUGUUGGGUUGUUGUACUUAUCUUUAGAUUUUGAACUUUUUUUUCAAUGAGGACAACCUCCUCCGAUUUUAGAGUCCAUGACUAAUUUAGGUGAUUGUAUUGUGGUUAUUGAACUUGCAGUUUUUGUCUUGUCCUUUCAAACCUACCUUAUGGGCAGUCUCUUUCCAGCUGAAAUAGCCUUAGUUUUGUGCCUACCUGGUGUAAAAGACAUAGUGGGAAGCAUGGAGGACUUGGUUAGUAUCAUGAUAGUCUUCUGAGAAGAGAAGAGGCCACUCUUUUUGCAGCAUGAGAAAUAGCCACGGACAAUAUUUGGGGAGGAAGAUUGAACAUGCUAAGGAAAGAGAUAUGCUCUACUAUCUUGAAAUAUUGAAUGCUUCAAAUAAAGUCAUGAGUAACUUGUCUUUACCAUUUCUAAGUUCUUCAAAUGAGGAUUCCAUUUGGCUUCAUCUUUUUUGUCUUGGUCACCCAUCUUUCUUAGUUUUUUAAAUAAUGUAAACUCAUGCGCCCUUUCCCAUUAGUAAUAAAAUAAAUUCUCAUCCUUUUUAAUUAAUCCGUGGUGGUAUAUGGGGACCAUACAUCAUCGUAAAUAUUUUAGGAGCUUGGUAUUUUCUCUUUAAUUGAUGAUAGUACUAGGGUUACAUAGAUAGUCUUGAUUAAAUAAAAAUCCUAACUUAGCAACAUUAUUCCUAAAUUCCACUCCAUGAUUCAAAAAUAGUUUAGUAAAAAUUAAAAACUCUUGGCAAAAAAAUAUAAAAGUUUAUUUUAAUCAAUCAUUGACUUCCUACUUACAAAAGGAAGACAUUAUUCACGAAUCAUCCAACAUAAAUAUACUACACCAAAACUGUGUUGUUGAAAGAAAAAAUGACCGUGUAAUAUACCCAAACAUUAUUAUUCUAAGGAGUGUUCCUCCAUCUUAUUGGGAAGAAGUUGUCCUUAAUGUCACACACAUGAUAAAUAGACCACCCUAACGGGCAUUGUAAUAUACAUCUCUUUUGAAAUGUCAUAUUAAAAUCUAUUUACAUGCCAAAAACUCUAAUGGCUUUAUAUGCACUUAUUUUGUAUAUAUUCAUGGUCAAAAUUGCGAUAAAUUAGACCCUUAGGCUAUGAAGUGUGUAUUUCGUAGCUAUUCUUCUACACAAAAUAGGUGCAAGUGUUAUUAUCUUCCUAGGAUAUUUUAUAUAUUUGUUGAUGCAAACUUUGUUGUAGACAAACCAUACUUCACAAAAUCUUAUCUUUUGGGAGGAUUUCACUUAUGGAAGAAAAAAAUUCAGUUGUGUUUGCUGACAUUCAACAUUGAAGCAGAAGUGUUUGUAAACCAUGACUCUGAAUCUAAAAUCUCAGGCAUGGAAUGAGUUAAAAUCAACAAUAAAAAAGUGAGCUCCUUCCAUAUUUCAGCCAUCUUUAGAUUCUCAAUAAAAUGUUCUUCAUUUCUUAACAAAAGGGUCCUAUAGUUCUAUCCUGCAGUAGGCUUAUUUCACUUACUAUAUAAUUUUUUGCUUUUGCAAGUGUUAUGAUCUUUCUAACUAAAGUUCAUGU